rnacentral:rRNA from 1 species
ACGGCUCAGUAACACGUGGAUAAUCUACCCAAAGGUCUGGGAUAACCCCGGGAAACUGGGGAUAAGACCGGAUAGGCCAAUACGUCUGGAAUGUGUGUUGGCUUAAAGGCAACGCCUUUGGAUGGGUCUGCGGCGGAUUAGGUAGACGCCGGUGUAACGUACCGGCGUGCCUGUAAUCCGUACGGGUUGUGGGAGCAAGAGCCCGGAGAUGGAUUCUGAGACACGAAUCCAGGCCCUACGGGGCGCAGCAGGCGCGAAAACUCUACAAUGCAGGCAACUGCGAUAGGGGGACAUCGAGUGGCACCCACCUUGGGUGUCUGUCCAACCGUCUAAAAAACGGUUGUUAGCAAGGGCCGGGUAAGACCGGUGCCAGCCGCCGCGGUAAUACCGGCGGCUCGAGUGGUGGCCGAUAUUAUUGAGUCUAAAGGGUCCGUAGCCGGCUUUGCAAGUCCUCUGGGAAAUCCAGCGGCUUAACCGUUGGGCUUCCAUGGGAAACUACAUUGCUUGGGACUGGGAGAGGUAGGAGGUACUCGAGGGGUAGGGGUGAAAUCCUGUAAUCCUUCGGGGACCACCGGUGGCGAAGGCGUCCUACCAGAACAGGUCCGACGGUGAGGGACGAAAGCUAGGGGCACGAACCGGAUUAGAUACCCGGGUAGUCCUAGCCGUAAACGAUGCCCGCUAGGUGUCACGGCGGUCGUGAAUCGCCGUGGUGCCGUAGGGAAGCCGCGAAGCGGGCCACUUGGGAAGUACGGCCGCAAGGCUGAAACUUAAAGGAAUUGGCGGGGGAGCAC